rnacentral:rRNA from 1 species
GUGGCAGCAGCCGCGGUAAUACGGAGGGUGCAAGCAUUAAUCGGAUUUAUUGGGCGUAAAGGGCGUGUAGGCGGAAGUGUAAGUCAGAUGUGAAAGACCGGAGCUCAACUUCGGGACCGCAUUUGAAACUGCAUUUCUAGAGGAUAGGAAGGGGAAACGGAAUUCCAUGUGUAGCGGUGAAAUGCGUAGAUAUAUGGAAGAACACCCGUGGCGAAGGCGGUUUCCUAGCUUAUUCCUGACGCUGAGGCGCGAAAGCAGGGGGAGCAAACAGGAUUAGAUACCCUGGUAGUCCCUGCCGUAAACGAUGUACACUAGAUGUAGUUGGAAUCAACCCCGACUGUGUCGUAGCUAACGCAUUAAGUGUACCGCCUGGGGAGUACGCCCGCAAGGGUGAAACUCAAAAGAAUUGACGGGGGCCCGCACAAGCAGUGGAGCAUGUGGUUUAAUUCGAUGCAACGCGAAGAACCUUACCCAGACUUGACAUGCUUCGGACCGCUCCAGAGAUGGAGUUUCUCUUACGAGCCGGAGCACAGGUGCUGCAUGGCUGUCGUCAGCUCGUGCCGUGAGGUGUUGGGUUAAGUCCCGCAACGAGCGCAACCCUUAUCGUUAGUUGCCAACACGUAAUGGUGGGAACUCUAACGAGACUGCCUGGGUUAACCAGGAGGAAGGUGAGGAUGACGUCAAGUCAGCAUGGCCCUUAUGUCUGGGGCUACACACGUGCUACAAUGGCCGGUACAAUGGGCAGCUAAGCCGCGAGGUGGAGCAAAUCCCUUAAAGCCGGUCUCAGUUCGGAUUGUAGUCUGCAACUCGACUACAUGAAGUCGGAAUUGCUAGUAAUGGCGUGUCAGCAACAACGCCGUGAAUACGUUCCCGGGCC